ACCUGCAAACAAAUAACAUGCUUCAGUCAUGCCAAGUCACACCAGUAUCUUUAACAAAUGAAUGUCUGAAUGCCUCUGGUAUCAGUAUUAAUGAAGACAGCUGUAAGAAAACACUGGAUCUAAAAAGUGCCCCUUAAAAUUCUGUACUAUUUUAUCACAUGCAGAAAUACAGAGACACAAUUUCAUGUUAACUUGAUGUUAAAGUCAGGCAGUGAACAGCCCUUGGUUAAGCUGAGCACACGCCGCCAAACUCACUUUUUGGUUAGAAAGCAAAGACUCUUGAUUUGUGGUGCUGUGCAGGAGGCAGCUGGGAGCAAACCAGGCAGGCGGAUGAGAAGCGCAAACUCUACUGCCUACCACUUAUAGCUGCAUUUAAUUUUAAAUGCACUUCGGAUUGGGGCAAGGGAGAAAUGAAAGACAUUGACCCAGCCAGCUGCCUCUCUUGGUCAACUGCAGAGAAAGCGUGGCUCAUGUACUUAGAACCCAGUAACAACAGCAGCUCAACUGCAGGAACCAGAAAGUUUAAGCUACGUUUAAGCUACGCUGGACAGUGUUUAAUCUAUGCAGAAGUUUAAGCUAGCCUUCCUGCAACUGUCCUUUUUUGAGGAUGCAACGUGAAUUAAUUCCCAUACAGCCAUCAUGCAUCUGCUGCUGGAUUUUCUGCUGCCUUUUUGUGCAGGAAAGAAUACUGCUGUAUUUAAAUGAUCCCUCACUGGGGUCACUUCUCACUGGUUUUCUUCAUCCUGUGAAGAUGACACAGGAUAUGGAUCCGUGCAGUAAGGAGUUCAGCAAAUUAGAGCAAAGCAAUGCUUAGGAACAAGAGUCAGUCAUAAAACGAAUACUGAUGCAAGGAUGAUGACCAUAUUAUUAACAACAGCAUGUGGGAGGGCGACAGCUCUACGAAAAAUACCAAAUUCUAGAAUUUAGAAUUGUCAUUUUCCAGAUAUGGAGUGUAAAAAAACAGCUGCAGGUGCUUUAUCUGCACCUUAUUUUGGAAAACAAUGAUCUGUCUUCUGUUUCAGCUUUCUGACAGUACAAAUAAGAGAAGCGACUUAGCACAUGGGAACCACACAUCCCGCCAACUAAGCCAGACCUCAGAAGGGCACUUCGAAACAUCAUGUUUUGAAUACACAAUUGUGUAUAAAGUAAACAGGAUCUCAGAAAUUGAAAGAACUGGAGGUGGGAAACUGCAUAUUACAAUCAGACCUCAACAUACUUCCCUUCCCUCCUGCACUUGCUGGCAAAGGCACAAUGCUCAGGAACACUCACACCUAAAACAGCGGCGAAUGCCCAAGGAAUAUUUUGAGCUCUGAAUUUACAAUUUUUAGAGAGUUAAAAAAAAAUAAUCAAAAGAUUUGCUUAUAGCUGUGUCCAAUGACUAAUUCACUUUUUUUUUUUUUUUUUUUUGCAAGGUGAGCUAAAAUAGGAGGUAUGUUUUUAUUUUUCUUCCCCUCUUCUGUGAUUUAUAUUCCCACCUCUUCAUGUAUCAGCACUCUCCAUAUCAGCCAUCUCUUUCACUGGAAACGAAACAGACCAGAAGGAAAGUAAGAGCCUUUCUGGAAACCUGCCCUUAGAAGCCUUCAGUAGCCCAGGUAACCAUGACCUGAUCCAAGUAACUGAGGGAAAAAAAAACAAACUCUUGGCCAAGUGUACAAGCAAGUGAGAGAAAAUCACAUUCAGAGAGUACUUAAAGGAGUUCCGUGUCAAAAUAAAAAUGAAAAUAAAAGGAUUGAUCAACUGGAGUCUUUUAUGGGACUUGUCCUUUGCUUUAGUUUCAUAUUUGCUUUCUCCACACUGUGCCUAUGGAGACUUCCAAGCAGUAAAUGGACAGAAUAUCAACAACUGUUUUCCACCGAGCUGUCAGCAAUGAGCGGAGAGGGGCAGCUCAGCUAAACCUGUGGGACAGAGCUUCCUUCACACUGAAGACCAAGGUCACACCUGAAGACACAAACAGGCAGCUCCCACCUUCCCUCCCUCUCCUACAGAAAAUAAAUAUCUCCCUCUGCCCUUCGCCAGCAAGAAGUUUUUCAUCAACACUGACAUUACCACUACUGCAAGUUUCUAUGCAAAUAUCACGUUUCUCAGGUGGAUUUAAUAAGGAAAAGGCUACAGAGAAAUGCUGCAAAAAUAAAGUAGAUGAACGAACUUGCCAGCAGGCCCGUGAGGGUACAGAGCAGUGCUAUUCCCAGCACAAACCUUCCAGUUUAGAAGGGUUGGUUCUAUACUGCUCCACAGUCAGGGCUACUAUAGGAAGGAAGCAGCUCAGGACAAAUAGCAGAUUGAGGCUGAAUUACAAUUUUCCUUUCUGGUUAAGGUAUUUUUAAAAAAGUAAAGUAACUGCUACUGCUUUAGAUGAGAACUCAUUUCUACCUCAACCAUGGCACAGUAGGCACCGUGAUGUUUAACUCAGUGCUGAAUUUGAACCAGUCAUGGAGUAAAAAAACAACAACAAAACAAUCCAGCUGUAACAAAAGUAAAACAAAACAGCAAUCUAGAAACCCACACAGUUAGGAUGCCUAGAAAGAAGUUUUCUGCGGGUGAUUUCACAGUAUUUUAUAAAAUACUUGAUCUUCUUGUUCAGUGGACAAAGAACUGGCUGCAGGAUCAAGUCCAGAGAGUGGUAGUCAAUGGCUCAAUGUGUGGACAGAGAUCAGCGACAAGUGGUGUCUCCUACAGGUCACUGCUGGGGCUGAUACUCUUUAAUACUUCAUCAGUAACACUGACAGCUGGUCGAGUGCACCCUCAGCAAGUUUGUGGAUGACACCAAGCUGUGGGGUGUGGUCGACACACCAGAGGGGUGGGAUGGCACUCAGAGGGAUCUAGACAACCUUGAGCAGUGACACCAGGUGAGCCUCAUAAGGUUCAACAAAUCCAAGUGCAAGGUCUUCUACCGGGGUCAAGGCAACCCCCAUUACCAAUACAAGAUGGGGAAUGAAAGGAUUGAGCACAGCCCUGCCUAAAAAGACCUUGGGGAUACUGGUGGAUGGCAAGUUGGACAGGAGCCAGCAAUGUGCCCUCAUGGCCCAGAAAGCCAACUGUAUACGGGGCUGCAUCAAAAGAAGUACAGCUAAGCAGGGCAACGGAGGUGAUCCUGCCCCUCUGCUCUGUGCAGGUGAGGCCUCACCUGGCGUACUGCAUCCAGAUGAGGAGUCCUCAGUAUAGGAAAGACAUGGACCUGUUGGAGUGCAUCCAGAGGAGGGCCAAAAAAAAAAAAAAAAAAAAUGAUCCAAGUGAUGGAACACCUCCCCUGUGAGGAUAGGCUGAGAGAGCUGGGGCUGUUCAGCCUGGAGAAGAGGAGACUUCAAAGUGACCUGAGAGCAGCCUUUCAGUACCUAAAGAGGAGCUACAGAAAAGAAGAGAACAGCCUCUUUAGAUUGAUCUGUGGUGAUAGAACGAAGGAAAAUGGUUUCAUGCUUAAAGAGAAGAGAUCUAGGUUAGAUAUAAGGAAAAAGUCUUUUACAGUGAGCGUGGUGAGGCACUGGAACAGGUUGCCCAGUGAUGUGGUAGAUACCCCAUCCCUGGAGACUUUCAAGGCCAGGCUGGAUCAGGAGCUGUGGUGUCCCUGCUCAUUGCAGGGGAACUGGACUAGAUGAUCUAUAAAGGUCCCUUAAAAGUCUAAGGAUUCUGUGAUUGUAUUCUGUAACAAAGACGGGUGAUUCUUGAAACCAACGCUCUAUUUAGCAGUCCACCCCAGUGAUAAUCAAUGUGUAAUCCCCAAAAUAACAGAGAAUCCCUAUUUUAACAGACAGCUAGUAGAAGCUAAUAUUAGCUAAAUCACAGGGACUUCCAAAAAUCCUUCCUAAAACUUUCUCUUACUGGGGAUGCUGAGGAUUCCACCCUCAGUAAUUCCUGGUACUUGUUUUAAAUGCUUUGACCAAGAACUCCAGAACUGGGCAUUUUGGUAAAUGGAAACAAAAGGAGGGGGAAGAUUUGUCAGAAAUUAGGACGGUGAAUGAUUAUAAUUCAGUUUUCCUUUUCCUCUCGUUGUAGGACAAGUGCAGACCACAAACUACUUCUGGAGCCUAUCAAGCAGCUACCCAUCAUGGUUCGGACAGGCCUUUCUGCUACCUGGAAAGCUUUUUAAGCAAUGCCUCUGCUCAGUGAGCACACGAGAGAGGGCUGGAAACCACCUACGAUUCCUCCGAGCAUGAGACAUCCGACUGAAAAGCCACUUCGCCGGAAAACGGGCACCGACACACUUAGCCAGGCGCCUGUCCCGCUGCCUCCGUGUGAGUACUUCCCCUAUCUGUUCCCCGCACCAUUACCAGCACCGCCGGACAGACGGGAGCAUGGAUCGGGUGCCCGCGUGCUGUAGGCGCUCAAAACACGGCGACAAGCGGGCAGAAGGUGAGCCUGCAUUGUGCGGCGCUCACGGGACCGCCCGGUGAGAAGCAGCGUCUCAGCUCUCCGGAUGGGUCACCAUCACUGCGUGUGAUGCUCUACGGGAGGCAGGAGUGGCACUGCCGGGGUGCGUGAGGGGCGGCCAACUCCACGGCCGUACCCUGAGCUUCAGAGGAGGCUUUGCACCUCCUCUUUCGCUCCUGUCGUCCUCUGCAGAAAGCGCUGCCCCUCGCAUUCUAAACCCCGGCGCCGAGCAGCAGAGCCGUGCCGGCGGCGGCCUUUCACCUCAGCCGGGAGGCGAGAAAGGAGCGCGCCCCGUUCCGCCCCGUCGCGCCCCGAGGGCACUCACCGGCUGCAGGGCUUUGUGCGCCAGCCGCCAGCCCCGCAGGUGCCGCAGAGUGCAGCCGCAGCGGCGGCGGAGGGGCAGCUUGGCCUGCGGCUCGGUGGUCUCGUUGUAGACGCCGCCGUUCUCCAUGGCCGCGCAGCCGAGCCGGUGGGAAGCGAAAGCAAAAGGGCGGCGGCUGGAGUAGCACGGCAGGGAACGGGAAGGCGGAGGCGCCGCCCCGCCCGCCAACGCUGAAACAAAAGCGCUUCCUGCAGGCCCCGGGCACGAGAGGAGGGGCGGGCGGCGGCGCGCCGCUCCGCUGCCCUGAGGGGGGCCCGACGGCAGCGUCUGCUGUCCUUUGCACGGGGACUGGCGCGCAUCCCUGUGAACUUUCACCAGACGGCGGUGGGCGCGGCCCCAGAGCUCAGGGAGCGUUUGGACAGCGCUCUUAGGCGUGCGGUUUGGGUUUUGGGUAGUGCUGUGUGGAGCGGGGAGUUGGGCUCGAUGGUCUUUGAGGGUCCCUUCCAGCUCGGGGUGUUCCAACCUGCUGCCAUACGUCUGCACACGCCUACUUUCAAAGGCAGCUACAGCAAUUAGUGCUGCAUGGAAAUAGAUGAAGCCUUUUAUAUACUAGCAAAAGUGCACCACGUUCACUUUUAUUAGCGUGUUAUCCACAGAACUAUUAUGGUCCUUCACAGUCAGAUUCAGAUACCCUUUGCUAAGUAUAAUCUACUGAUAGACAAGUGGCAGUUUGCUUUCUCGGCCUUAGUUUUACUCAUGCUUUGUUUGAGCACAGCCCGUGCUGAGGGAGCCGAGUGAAUGGUCAGACACUGCCCGUCUCAGCCCAGCAGCACAGCAUGUGUGUGCAGCACCGACAGAGCUCAGGCACCGUUUGUGCCUGUUAGGAGCCACCGUACCCGGACAGGUAACACAACACAGAGCAGGUAAGGGCACCUGGACCAUGCUCUGGGCUACUGUUUACUGUUUAUCAGGGCUGUAAAUGGGAUCCCUCCCUGUAGGAAAACACAACCCGGAGGAACACUGCAGGUGGUGGUGCAGGUGUGUUUGUGCCAUAAACAGUGCCUGUUGCAGGAGCUGGCUCUAGAGGCAAGUGAGUGGGCAAGCCCUGUGAUUCCUCAGGCACAAGAGUUCCUAGUGAAAUAAGGAAGGUAUUGCCAUGAGUGCACCACAGCUUCUGCUGGGGGUUGGGAUGUGUCUAACGUAGUUCUGCAUGCAGCACCCCAGGAGUACAGGGCUGAGCAGGUAGGUGUAGUGAAUAUUUACUCUUAGGGAUCCAGAGUACUGCUGUGCUUUCAUUGCUGGUUUUUACAUUAGUAGGCUGUAAAGAAGGUUGUAUUACAGAGGCUGGCACCCAUUUUCUAAAGGAAUUUUCCAUUUUAUUCUCUUUGUCGUUUAUAUUUCAAAGCUGGCUGAAUGACCACAACACGUCCUAUAUGAUGAGGCUACUUUUGUCUGAGGGAAACAAGGCUUAGGCAGAUAGAAGCAGUUGUGAGUGCUCCUUAUAAAGUAUUCAGCACCAUCUAAGGAUACCUGUAGCUACUCCCAGUCCUGUUACCUACGUCCUAAGGCAGCCUUACAAAAGGGUGAACACAGACAUUACUACUGAGGGCAGCUCUUGAAAGGAGCUGCUUCUGAAGGACCAAUUGAAAAACUACACAAAGUUGACUAAAGAUGAAAUAUAUUGUAACCUUUUCCUACUUACUGCCAUCUUCUAGGAUUUAUUUUUCCUGUUCAGGCCUUCAGCAGAAGUGUAAAAGCUGGCUUGCCAUUUAAAUCCUAGGUUAUUUAGGGUGCUUGCUUUCUUUGUUUAUAAGGCAAAGAUCUUUUGGAAAGCAAAAGAUCUCAAAAAAUGGAAAGCCACAAAGAUCUGUAACAGAAGGAAUGAAAACCAGACAGCAUAGGACCAGAUACCUGAAAAAUAAUUACAGCAUUUUGUUGUGCAAAUGCUGCUAUGCACACAAACUAGAGCUGUUCUUUACCCUUUCACCAGAACUGUCUUUCAAGUACAGCUUUAGAGUUCUCUCCCCUUUAAAGAGGGAACGCAGAUCAAAACAGCAGUUGUGAUACAUAACUGUUUAAUGCAAACAGCUGCAAUUAGCUGGCUGUGAUGUAAUGGAAAUCCCACUCCAGGUGGGCAUCUAUUCAGUUUCUUCUCUUUAUGUACUGACAGAGUUUUCCAAAAAUAAAGUCUUUCCUACUCAUGCGACCUGUACCAGAAUGGCAGACCCGAGCUGAAAGCAGGACACUGCAGCAGAAAGCAGCCCUGGAAUUAGACUGUAAACUGCCACAACAUCUCCACUCAGCCAAGGAGUGGGAGGUUGGUGGGAGCAGAUUAGUGAUGAGUGACCUAGUUUUCUCCCACGUUACAUCUUCUCCAAAGAUAACCACCACGGUGACCAUAGAGAAGUACCUAUUAAAUGGAGAAAGCUACGUCAUUAGGGGAGAUUACAGUAUAGCUUUAUAACACGGAUAUCACUCCUCACCGCAUUGAAAAAAAUGACAAAAGAAGCACGACUUGAGUGACAAAGCAGUUGAAUAAAUGUCAGCCCCUGGGAUACGGUGAGUACAGGCCAGGUAUCAUCCCAGCUUUUAUGAAGUGAAGCCCUGGCGGACCUUUGGAACUAGCUUUGUACGAUAUUACAGAAUUACCCAGAUUAAGCUGAAACAUAAAUCCUUCACAGUCAAGAUUAGCAGCAAGGCUCCCUCCCUUGGCCUGACUUCUCACAAAUGAAUUCUCAUUUUCCCAUGUUGAGAAAUACAAUUCUGUCUUUUUACUUGCCUUCAAGGAGGGCAAAAGAGAAGGAAGUAUAAGAAUAGGAAAGCAAUUUAAAAGCCCAAACCACUAAUGGAGGCAGGCUCCAUUUCACUUGAAGAGUGAUGAGGCAGACCACCACAGAACAAGUUGGGAAACUCCACAGAAGUCAGCCAGUCAUAGGCACAGCUCUCCCCUGGUUUCGGUUCCCAUGCAGACAUCUGACAGCAUUCUUUCACACAAGUGCUCUGUAUGAGAUGACCAGCCAGCCCUGGGAAUCACAGAGCGAGGACUGCGACAAGCAAACUCAGACAAGACUUGCACACGUUGCAUCUCCUGACUCUUGCUCAGCUCCAAAGGCUCUGCCUGGGCUCAGUGCUGCAGCUGAACUUCACUAAGCCUGAGCACUGUACUAACUAGCCACAGGGUGGGAUUUUUAAACAGCCAAAGAUCAGGAAUCGGUAUUUUUAACAGCUAUUUCUGAGUCGCCUUCAUGGCACAAGAAUAAGUAAAAUGCUCAGCUCUCUCCACAUUUCCCAAAUGCUGGGCUAGACUAAUUUUCAGUACUGGUUUUCUGCAAUGCAUCUGCAUAAGAAGAAUCCUAUAGCUAUGACGUAUUCAACAGCAAAUGGUUCUACAGUUGCAAAUUAAGAUGCUUAUAUUUUGAAAUAAUGCUACUUAUUUGUUAUAUUUGAUUAAGGGACAACAUACUUUCUGAUUAAAGUGUUAGCCAUACUUAAUACAAUUCACUCAGAAUACUGAAUAGUGGACUGGCACGUAGGGACCGCUCACCAUUAAUCAACUGUUCCAACUGCAGUACUUAUAAUUCUGCCUACGGUGGUGAUUCAGCAAAGGUGACACACAGAGAAAUGUGUGACCCACUGCUGAACAACUGCAUGGAGUGAACUGACCUGGAAGGUGUGGCGGGACAAGCUUCCCAUCAGGGAUGCAGGGCAUGCAUCACCAUCAGAACACUGGGAAGGCUAGACAAUAUAUUAGAAGCCAUCGAACUACAUGGUUUGCCUUUUAUUCUUUGUCUGUGGAGGCAGGGACCGGGGAAAACCUUACUAAUGACUCACUCGAAUUUCACUUCAUAAAACGAAGUUCUAGAAACAGAAAAUCACUUCUGCGUAUUUAAAACUUCUAAAUAUAUUUCUUCCCUAUCCACCGCUAGCUGUUUGGUUUUUAAAGAUCUUUAUUAUUGUUAUUUUUUACAACAAGGCUAAGAAAGGACUUUUUCUACCUGGCCUUUCUAUUCAACAGCAUGGAAGUAGCCAGCUUCCCUACUUGAAGUUUAAAUUCUCUUUAGGCUGCCGUCACUAUCUACAGCCUGUUUAUGCUGGUUGGACAGCUGUGAAACAGCAGAUGAAGAAAGUGGAAUUUACCAGAAGCAGCGUGCAAAGCAAGGCUCCGUGACAGAGGGCCAUUUCCACUUCUUUCAGGCACCCGUUGGUGAAAACAAUGAAAAGAUGCUCGGAAAGGAUACCUCUUCCUUACUCAUUAUUGUUCUUCCAUGCCCUAAAUUUUAAGCAUGUGAGAUUUGCGAUGAUCUCAUUUCUAAAAGGAAUAACAGCACCAGUAACAUCAAUUUCACUUCUAAUCACUCCUGCAUGCCUUUGAUACCUUUAGUGUUACUUAGUAGAAGGCUUUGGCCUAGCACACGAGAAGAGCAGAUGAUGAUUUUUCAUAAAGUAUUUCAAAAUGUUUUGCACUAUGAAUACUGCAAAACCACUACACAGCACAGAAGUUACUUGGCACUUUUAGAGCUAGACCUGUGUAGUUAAGGAACCAACUACCAACAAAAUAAACUCUUUUAGGGGAUUUCCUUUCCACUAUGUUCUUAUAUCAGUUCUUUGAUUAGAGUGGUUGUAAUAAACCUGCUCUGCAAAUUUUAAGCCUGAAAAUUUGGGGUAGGAGAUCACUAUUUCCAGAUGGUUCUUAAAUUUCAGCUGAAAACAUGGCAGUCUCUGAAAUGCAUAUAUGACUUCUGAGUUAUAUGGACUAGCUACCAUCCUAACUUCAAAUUUCUAGUUAUACACCCAAAAUGUAAGCACCAGUCUGUUGGGUUGCAGUCUUUUCCACGGGGAGCAAACCUAAUUUGGAAUUUAAGAUGACUAGCAUCACAUUCAAAAUACAGAAGAUGCACUUCAUUAGAGGCUUCCUAAAUAAGCUGGAGAAAUAAAGGCUUUAUUUAAAAAAAUCCAAAACAAAUAACAAAACUAAACUAAAAAAAAAAAACCAAAACCAACCAACCAAACAAAAAAAACCCCCUUAAACUCAUUGAAGUUAGUUGGUAAUUAUUAGUAUCAGGAUAUACUUUUUACACUUAGUAUGUGACUAUCAGUAGGAAAAGACCAUGAGCUUGAAACACAACAGUGAAGGGAUGCUCAACAUUUGUGUACUGAAAGCUGAAGCCCUGACCUUGGUCAGCUGUCUAACGCAACACUUGAUGAUCUUUAUGGUCCUUUUCAACCCAGGCCAUUCUAACAUGCUGGAGUCAUCAGCAGGAUUCUUGGUGUAACUAGUGUGCUUGCAGCAGAAUCCACACGAGUGUGAGAAGCUAGUUUUACUCCUAGCAACAAACACAGCAGACUUUUAUCCAGUUCCUCCUAGAAACAGUGCUGCAAGGAAGUUUAAAUCUCUACCAGCAAUACUAUUCAAAGAGAAGUACAAGAUAAAGUGUAUUUUAAGAUGUUUUACAAAACAUCCUCAAAUUUAGCUGUAAACAAAGAACACCGUGGCUUCAAUGAAAGUUACUUAAAUUUGAAUGCAGAGAACACUUUAUUAACUGAUUACAGUUUUGAUGACCAAUCUUAAACCAUAAUUAAUAUGGGAAACAUAGUGGGGGACAUUAAGGCUGAGCCAUAUAUAUAUAGACAAAUCUGGAUACUGAUAAUCUGUACAUUUAACCUCUGCUUUUUCUUUAUACAUCUUUUAUCAGUGUCUGAAAUUAAUCAAAGAAAACAACCAAAAACCGGCCAGUAAUUUAAGGUCUUAGUCUGGAGUGAAAUUUUUGCAUGGGUUUUUGAAUGCAGUAUAGAUCUCAGGGGAGAUCAAACAGAUUCGCAAACAUGCUCCAAAUCAAGCAUUCAAGUAUAUUUGGAGUUUGUCGUUACAGUUUUGUGCAAGUGAUUUUAUUUUCCAACAACUAGUAGUAGUUCUCUCCUUUAGAGGUCUACGUUCUACUUAAGAGGGUAUUAAAAUAAACUAAUAAGUUGGGAAAUCAAUAUAAAUUAAGUGCCUGUGGUGUGCAUCAGCUUCCUGCUCUAAGCAACCUUUAUCUGUAAGUGGACAUACUUGCCAGUUUCACAGAAUUACACUGACUUAUCAACAAAACCCAGAAAUUUAUCUACUAUUCUUGCACUGUGAACAGUAGUCCUACGUGAUGUGAUACCUUUUUUCACCUGUACAGCUCCCUUUUGUAAAGUUGGGCAACACAUGAAAGAAAGACAGACAAACUGUUUGUGUUCUGAAACGAUGUUUCAGUUCUUUAGUUCCAGUCACUGAAGGAAGAGGCAGAGGCAAGUUUGAAUUACCCCAGAAAACUCAACAAUUGGUUUUAUUUGGUGUCUUCAAGAUGCUUCACCUUCUGUGGGAGACGUAGGUGAUGUAGGAGAAACCAUUUCAGGCUUUCGUGAAAUUCUGUCCAAUUCUGCCUGAACAUCUGUUAAAACUGGCUUCUGACCUACAAAAGAAAUGCACAUCACUCAGUGAUGUUAAUGAAACCGUUUGUGGAAAGCCUUUGUAUCUUCAGUUCUCAAGAAGCAUCUGCAAAUCUGCCAAACAAAAAAGCCAAAGAAAAAACCAACCUGUUGUUACUACUCCAGGCAAAUCCUAGAAAUGUUACUCUGCAACCCAAAGCAUGCAGUAAAGGCUUAAGGCCAAAAAUCAACAGUAAAGGAACAAAAGCAAUAUAGUCACGUCCUGUAUUUCAGAUUUCUCAAAGUAACUUCCAUAACUAUAUAUGAAGUUGUGGGCAUAUGAAGAGUUAAUGUAAAGUCUAGAAAAUACACUUCGCUGUCUUCUAUAAAUUAUGAAUACUUCCCAAUGAUUUGCUGUAUCAGCUGUAUUUUGAAGUAAUUCUGAAUGGAAAUCAGGAGUUUUACCACAGACCAGAGUCUGUUCCACAAACUUGGUCAGCUUAAGUUGACACUGCUGCUCAAGGUGCGUGCACACCCUCAGGUAGCAAAUCCCUCACUCUCCUCACCUGCUUACCUCCCCCAUAACUUGGGAUAGCACAAACAUGUAUACACUCACAGUUAAACUUGACCCUACUUUGCAAUACACCUUUAUUUUUUUUUCCCCCUCCACCAGGUCACUUGUUACACUUACUCCCGUCUUGCAUGCAUCUAGCUUUAAAGGAAUCACUAUCAGACAUUUCUGACGAAUACUAAACAUGCUGUCGAAAGAAAAUACUAAACUGAUUGACUGCUGAAGCCACUCAGUCAAAACCUUCAUCAGAUCGGAGCUAUACCACUGGCAAAAGGAAGUUUAAAAAAGUAUUAAAAAGUUAAAAAGUACUGAAGUCAUUUUAACACUGAUGAUAUAGAUACACAUUACUUUGAAACGAAGUCCCAAAGUAUCUGAAUAAUAUUAAAAUGGAUUAUGGCAUAAGCUGCUUAAGCAGCUACAAGGGAAGGUUUUCUUUGAUUCUCUGAGCCAUAAGAAGGGCAGGCAAUACUGAAUCACUGUGAGAAUAAACAGGCAUAGCCAAUGAAACAUGCAGUUAAAGGUAGCAGUGCUCCUACUUCCAAUAAACUACAUUGAAUGAUGCACAACUCAGUCUAAGUUGUGAGCUGAUCUUUUUAGCAUACCUGACUUUUUUGCUGAUGGUGGUAGAUUGCUGCCAGUACCUCCAGCGCUGCCACCGCCAGGACUGCCACCAACACCACCAGGGCCACCAGGGGAACCAGUUUUCUUACUCAACAGACUAUUGAAGAAGUUCGCCAGGACUCCCUCACUGGUAGCUCCAGCUACAAGGAGACAGGAGUGGGGGGGAAGACAAAAGAAGAAACAACCAUCCAAACAUUGUCCAAAUAAAUAGCAAUUCAAUAUUUCAGUUAUGCUAAAUAAGCUCAUUAAAGAAAGGUACUUCCCCAAAUUAAUUUUUGUCCCCAGAAAGUAAAAGGUACCUUUCAUGUUGGGAUCAAUUUUUUUGGACCCAGCAGGGAUAGGUGUAACGCUGGCAACGUUGGAUGUUACGGAUCUAUUUGGUGUCCUGGGAGAUCCUCCAGGAACUCUCGGUGAGGCAUCCUGUGCAAAGAAAGAGGAGAAAAUUAAAAGAAGUCUUCCAAAGAAUCGAAUCGUGCACUGUAAUUGCACGUGAAAUUAAGCACCUGCUUCUCAGUUCUACUUCUUUAAUAACGUAGUUUCCCUCACAACUGAAAUGAGGCAGGAAUAGAUUUUCUUUAGGUAUUUUUUUCCACACUUAUGACAUUAUUACAAAUAUUAACUUCAGUGCAACUGAAGCACUGCUGAAGAUUCCCCCCAGGCACCUCAAUGAGAGAGGUGAAGCUGUUAUUUUAUAGUUCCUCUGACUAUGGUGAAAACUGCACUGAUGAGAUUGUAGAGGACCUAAAAUCAGCUUCUUGGAAAGACAACACCACAUGCCACCAAUUAUGUGGAAAGGACUAAGGGCAGUCCAAGGAAAAAACAAACAAAUGAGCAAAAAAACUCCAAUGAAAUAAACCCCUCAAAACAUUACUCAAUUCUUCAAUGAUAAUGUAUGUUUUUGUAAAAUUGCAGUUCAUCUAAAAAAAUUUGAAGUCAUCUCUAAAAAUUUACAUGCUCUCUAUUAAACUUCUUACUUCCUAGUUAGUUUGAAUUUAGACAUCAUAACUCUCACUUAACCAUAUAUAUAUAUAAAGAUAUAUAUAAUAGAUAAUAUAUAUUAUAUAUCUUUUAUAUAUUAUAUAUACAUAUACACAAAUCUCUCUCUCUCUCCCUCUAUAUCUAUAUCUUUUUCCCCCCAGAGUUUCAAUAUUCCUAGAGUGACAGCACCAAAUUUUGGACAUAAAACUCACCAAAGCAAUUCAGCUGACAUACAGUUUGCUCCCUGGCACACUCUUAGGAUGGAAAGGGUAGUCAAGUAACUGUUUAGAUGCACUCUAACAUAUGAAAAGUAAAGCCACAGCAUUUAGCCCUUCCUGCCAAUACAAGUUGUCAUGCCUAGCUGUAAAGAAGUGUCAUCAUUUUAGAGCAGUGUGAGAAACAGGCUUUAAACACCAUGUAGUUUACACAAAUAAAUGGUUCAAAACUAUUUGCGCAUGCAGUUAAGAAACAAACAGCCCUCAAAUACAGGUGAUGGUAUUGGAAAUACUUGUAACUACUAACCACUGGCCUUCCUGCAGCAGUAGGUGGUUGCUUUGCCAGUUGCGACUGCAAGAAAGAAACAAACAACCAAUAAAGCCAUGUAUUAUUAGACAUCACAAAACUUUCUGAAGAAUCUUGUUAGAUAAAACAUUGGCCAUUUGUUUCAUGAACAGAACAUUACCUGCUGCUUCAUAAGAAACACUUGGUCAUCUUCUGCAACAAUUUCUUUCUCGUGAACAAACUGCAAGGUAAAAGAAAAGAAAAAACCACUAAUGCCAGGAUCUGCAGGAACACAACAUAAGGUGUAGGAUACACAGUAUCUGUUCACAGAUGCACACUCUCCAAUUCAUGUUGUUACCUUAUCCUGGACUAAGCCUGGUGUUACUUUCAGUAACUUUUGCACUAGGAUGAGGUGGUAUAAGAAAUAGAAACAUCUUAGAUCCCAGGUCUACACAGGAACUCACCAAACACAAGCUUUACCAAAGCAAGCAUGGCAAAUACCAAAGUUCAUAAUCUGCAGUAUAUAAGCACGCAAAAAGCUUGCCAGUUACAUUUCCCUUGGACUCUUAGUACUCAACACAUCAGUGUAUGUCUUGGUUGAGGAUUACAGCAAAGACACAGCGUUAAGUUUUCUCAGCUGAAAUAACUCACACUUGGAAAACGAUCACUUCCAAAUUCUUAACUUUGCUAGAAAGAAGGCAAAUAUUUCUGUGACUCAAUAACUUCUACAUAUACACACGGUCCACUUUGCUGGCAUUUUGUUCAAUCUCUCCAUGUUUUUCAUACAGUUCAGCCUUUUUCUUAAACGGUAUGAGAGAGGAAAUACACCAAAAAGUUCUGAACAUACUGUAUAAGCUGGAGGAGAGGUAUACAAAACACUAAGAAAACGUUGAGAGCAAAAUGAAAAGACAAAAUAAGCAAAAAUAAGUUCAUCAUAGUCUUGGAAGCAAAGCUCCAAAAGCUGAUGGGGAGAUAAGCAAAUAAAAAGCUGCCAAAAAUAUUAGCAAAAUGUAUCCCAUUUUUAAAACAUCUCAUUUUACCUUUCUGACUGGUGGUUUUCUUAUGCUGUCUUCAAAACUGUCUUCUGCUUUUAGUGUUUGAAAGUUCUCAUGCAAGAUGCCAAUCUUCUUGUCGUUAUCCCAACCUGCAGGACUAGAAAGAAAGAUCAUUUGGCUUUAAUUUUCAUCAUUUCUUCAGGUUAUUCUUGAAUGCAGUUCUCAUCUACAUGGAACUGAAUGCCCAGAAAGUUGUCAUCAUUUCCUUUCUUCUGUGCAAGGGGGUUAUUGAGCAGUACAGGUAGCUGCAGACAGGGACUGGUUCACCAUAAAUGAGAGGAAAUGUCCCUUGCUUUAUCAUUUCUCUUUGAGGCAGUAUUUGUUAUCUCAGCCUCCCUGCCUCUCCAAAUCCCCCAGCUCAUCACACUGUUACACUCAUCUUUCAAAGACACGGGACAAAAAAGGCUCUGCAGUCCUGUACAAAUAUACGUUGUAGUCACAUACACACAACAGUGCAGAUAACUUACAUAAAUACUGCAUCUUUUUCCACAACAACAGCUGGAACAUUGAAAGGAAACCCGUACAACUUCUGGACUAUAUAUUUAUAGACUAAAUCAAUGUUUUUGUUCUCCUUUACCGAAGUGUAAAUAAGCGCAGCCCCAUCUGAGUACAAUUGUUAAAGAAAACUCCAUUUUAGUGGUUAGUAAGAAAAGGGAAAAUGACCCACUUUUGUUGUUUUAAAGGUUAUCUCCUCUGAAACAUUUAAGAUGGAUACAAAAUUGAAAUAGGUCAAACAACUUCCAAUGCUAUUCUUUGUAAUAAGCUAUUUAAGAAUUUAAGUCUCUCUUCCUGCAUAUAUUUUAAGGCAACUCAUCUGUUGCUUUUUGACUAAAGGCUCUUCUCACUUUCAAAGCCCAUAAUACCAAUAGCUUCACUAUGAUGUCUUUUAAACUGCUUUUGCUUUCAGUGAAUGAAAACUUUCAUGCCAUAUCCUUAUCUCAUCAUUCUCCCAUCCUGCAGGACUACACAGAGAUGUGACACAGAUACUACAGCAUUAACAUCAGUAGCUCCAAGUAUACAAAAGGUCUUUCACUUUCCCAGCUGGGUUUUUCAAUUUCGGGACCAAAUAUUACAGAGUGAUCUCCUUUCAAAGGAAGGUAAAUGGGUUGUGCUCUACGUUAGUACUAAAGAGAGUGAUUAUUAUUCCCAUACAGUUCAGUAUCAAAGGAAGAUUAUUUACACACAGGAUUAAUAAAAGCAGCAAGGGAAGUUUCAAGUAGUUUUCACUUUGAUAUUAUAAAAAUGCCCCAAACCCUAACCAGUUUCUACAUAGAUGAAAUUCAAAUUCUGAAAGCGGUAAGUAAUCUAACAAGAUCUGAUUCCCAUUCAGUGACAUUCAGAAUAGAGUUCUAAGUUGCAUAUGGCAAUUACACGGACUAAUUCCUACUCAUCUUUCAUAUUCCUUUUCUUCGUCUACAGAACUUACUGAAAUUAUCUGUAAUUUCAUUUUGAAAAACUAGAUCCAAAGGAGGUGCCAUCACAGUACUUUAAUGAGAUCUCAUGGUUUUGAACUACCUUUCAAUCUGUUAAUUGUUGUCUUCCCAGGAGUAUUUAGACUUCCACUUACUACAGCACACAUUAUGAUGACACAAUGAAGGCACAUUAUUGGCACCUAAAAUCUAUAUUUGAGCACACCUAGCUACCUAAACAACUUUUUAUAUAUAGCAUAGUGACAGUUCAUGUAUGUUGAGCCUACUAACAGAAAAGCCAGGGAAUCUUUCCCACAGCAAUUCGUAUUUCCUUUCUUCCCUCAUCACCUUAUCCUGUGGGAUUACUGAACACUGAAGACACCACAUAUCUGGUCAAAAAGAACAACAUCUUAUAGGCAUCUGAAAUGAUUUCAUGCUAAAAUGAAUUAUCUUCUUGCUAUUUUAGGGAGGUUGUUGGUUAAGACUUGCUGAUCUAGGAACUGAUUCUUCAGUAUGGAAAUGGCAAGGAAAGAAAUUUAAAGUAAGGGGACAUGGCAGACUCUUGCAUAUCUGUAAUGAAUUAAAAUUAUUCAACAGAAUGAAGAAAUAUUUAACCCAGCACUGUAUGUAGGGAAUAACCAAAGCUGACAUCCAGACACAAGGAAGGAGUUGUGUACAGUUCUGGUAGAGAUGCAAGUAUUCUUUUAAGCUGGUCACAAUUAAUGUAAAAAAAGCUUUGAGUCCUUAUUGCCUUUAUGAUGUGUUUAAGGAUACACUGUAAGCAAAACCGUCUGAUAUGUGACUGAAUGAAGUCGAAGUGUUCAUCUCUGUAGUCAUGCUCUUUUUCCAGAACACUGAUGGCAUCGCACUGUUAAAAUAAGCACAGAAUUAAUAUACCACUUCCAGCUAUCUGUUGAAAUAGCAGUGCUGCUGCACCUCCUGUUCACAACUGGGCCAUAGGAGGCGAAGCGAAAAAACAAAAACCUCCUGAGAUUGUUUAGAAACAUAAAAUCUUUAAAAAGAUAACUAUCUAUCUAUAUAUAUGCACUUUGGCAUGCACAUAUCAUGGGCUGCAUUAAACUGAGAGUUAAAGUGUUUGCCAUUUUCCAUUCUCUUCCCAACUGCAACCACGUUAUGCAAUAAAUCAACAUCUCUAUUGAACACCGAUCCAUUGAAUACAACCAUUUUCUGCACAAUGCUUUUACAUGCUGUGCUAUCACAGGGCAUAGUCUUUUUGUCUGGCUACUUGCUAGCCCUUUGCAAAGGUAAGCCAAAGCAAGAAGCAUGGGGAUGAGAAGAAAAAAAUAAUGGUUGUGGUGAGGGAAGAAUAAUGGAGAAUCAGGAGGUGAGAAAAAAACUACACAGGUGCUUUUCAAAUGAGAGGGUCAGCCUUCUCUACAAGUAACAGCAUAUGCAUCAAAACGUUUAUUCUUUCACUGAGGGCAAGCAGAGGCUGCAGAUGCAGUAUGCUUAAUGCCAAUGAGAACUGAAAAGCCAUGAGGGAAUGGCUUUUCAAGAAUGACUUUUUCAACAAGAACCAUGCUACUUUCUCUCUAGACUAAAAGUGUGAAGUAUUUAACAGAAACCAAAUCAGGUCACAGAAACACCCUAAGAGCUGAGCAAUGUUAGCAGAGCAGCACUCUACUAGCUAGCACCCUGAAACUUAUUUUCCUUCACAUUAAAAGAAAAAAAAAAACAAACAGAAGUUUUUAAAAAUCCAAACCAUUAGUUGCAGAAUAUAGAACGG